GACGAACCAUGCAAACGUUAUUCGGAAUUACUGGGCUUAAAGCGUGCGUAGGCGGCUCAGAAAGUUGGGUGUGAAAUACCUCGGCUUAACCGAGGAAUUGCGCCCAAAACUACUGGGCUUGAGGGAGUUAGAGGUGAGCGGAACUCACGGUGGAGCGGUGAAAUGCGUUGAUAUCGUGAGGAACACCGGAGGCGAAAGCGGCUCACUGGGGCUUCACUGACGCUGAGGCACGAAAGCUAGGGGAGCAAACGGG
rnacentral:rRNA from 1 species